rnacentral:lncRNA from 1 species
UCUGUCAGUAGCAGCCCUUGGAUUAGGAUUCUACUCAGAUAGAAGAAGAGAAAUUCUAGAGAAGAAGGAGAAGAAUAAGAGGGAGAAGAUAUGAGGGAGAGAAAGAAGAUAGGGGAGAGAAGAGCAAGAGAAUAGAAGAGAGAAAUAUUUGUUAUUGUAUUCAAUUUCUGGAUAUCCUCUUCUACAAGUAAAUUUCACUAUUUAUACUAACUUGUUACAUUAAGUGCCUAUCACAUCAACUCCUAUAACUAUCUUUGACUUCCACUAACCACCUUCAACUCAUAACCAAUUCUCCCUCCAAUUACCAGUCCCUAGCCUGCAUAUGCUUUAAUCUCUUGUAUGUGACAUUACCCCUUCCUUUAGAACCUUCUUGACCCCAAGACGGUUGAAAAGCUGGAACUGCUGAGCAUCAUUUUCAGCUUUUGUUGCAGCAACAUAACACUGGAACCAGCAACUUAGAGAGUCAUUUGGCAAUAAUACCUUCAGCAAAGGCCUAAUUUCUUCCUCUGGCUUCUCCUCAUUUCAAACUCAUUCUCUCUGAGCAAAAAAUGAAUGUGGUACCCAAAGAAAUACAUCUUCAUUCUCUGUCUUCUUCUAAUUUCAAACUCAUUCUCUUUGAGCAUCAUCUGAUUGCAUGAUCUCAGCCCAAAUAAACUUCUCCUAAGAACAAGAGUACCCUUGUAACGAAAAACUAUAGGAACCAUGCCAGCUCCUUGUUGUAACCUUGCUUUCUCAACUGCCAUCUGAAUAACAUUCACAAAUAAAAGAUGAGAAUCACGUGGACAAUCCAGCACUCUUCCCUUUGAGAAUGACAAAUUGGAUUUUCCAACUUCAAAAUUUGAAUGGGAAUUACAACUCAAAUUGGCUUCAUCCACAGUUUCAAUAGACAAUGUUUCCUUGCAUACAGAAUUGGUUCCUAAUUUCCCAAGAAGAAACUUCUCAUCAGUGACUUGCUGCCUAUUGCUGAGUCCUGUUUCCCCUCCUUAUACAAAACACAAUUCCAAUGCCGUUCUAUUAGUUAAGGCUGCAAUGUUUUCAGUUUCAUUUUCUAUAAAACUCUCCAGAAGUUGGGGUUUCAGCUCUGAAUUUUCUUCCUCAGCUGUAAGUGAAGCAUGAACAUUAGACAAUUCUACAUUGAGAUGCUCUUCUGCUAUGCCCACACCAUUAAUGGUUACUUGUGCCUCUAUUUGGGGGGUUGGAAUAACAUCUAUUAUAGCAUUUUCUAUGAACAUAUCCCCUUUGGAUUUUGUCACUUGAAACAAUUUCUUUACCUCUUCUUGUUUCGCUUCCAACGCUUAUCCAAUUUCAUCAAUAACUCCUUAAUCCUCAUCACAUUUUCUUACUUUUCUGUCAAUAGUUUCCAAUGAUUUCUCAAGAUCCUCUUGGUCCCAAGAUUAUAUUUCCAUGUUAUGAAGAAAAGAAAACCAAACAGGAGGUUUAAAGAAAGAAUUAGAAACAGAAGAAAAAUACAACCAAACAAGAAAGAAAGUGAAGGAAACGAAUCAGAUAUUUCAAGAAUUUCAAGAAACAGAUUUCUUGAAAUGCAAGAAUUGAGAAAUUAAAGAAGUGAAGAAAGAACCACAAAACAACUAGAAAAAGAAGAGAAUCCGAUUCAAGACUUCAAGAAUUCAAGAAAGAACAAAGAGGAGGAUAGAAAUUUUAAUGAAAUAAAGAAGAAACAGAGAGCAGAAAGAAAAGAAAUUUAAGGGAAUGAAGGCAGGAAAAAAUAGAGGAAAGAAAGAGAAGAAUCUUAGAAAAGAAAGAAAGAAGGAAUAGAGGGAAGAAAGGAAAGAAAUUUCAGGAAAGAAGAAAGAAGAAUUUGGAGGGAAAGAAGAGAGAAAGUGAGAAGAGUAGAAAAAAACCUGAUUCUGCCAUGGAUGCGACCUAGAUUAGCCAUUUGCAGCUCCAGCCCACUCGAAAAGAAGCUCUGAUACCAAUUUGUCAGUAGCAGCCCUUGGAUUAAGAUUCUACUGAGAUAGAAGAAGAGAAAUUGUAGAGAAGAGGGAGAAGAUAUGAGAGAGAGAAAGAAGAUAGGAGAGAGAAGGGCAAGAGAAUAGAAGAGAGAAAUAUUUGUUAUUGUAUUCAAUUUCUAGAUAUCCUCUUCUACAAAUAAACUUCACUAUUUAUGCUAAAUUGUUACAAUACGUGCCUAUCACAUCAACUCCUAUAACUAUCUUUGACUUCCACUAACCACCUUCAACUCAUAACCAAU